rnacentral:rRNA from 1 species
UUCGGAUAAGAGGCUGAAACUCGCCUCUUUGAAGUCGGAAUCGCUAGUAAUCGCAGAUCAGCAUGCCGCGGUGAAUACGUUCCCGGGCCUUGUACACACCGCCCGUCACACCAUGGGAGUUUGUAACGCCCAAAGUCGGUGGCCUAACCUUUAUGGAGGGAGCCGCCUAAGGCGGGACAGAUGACUGGGGUGAAGUCGUAACAAGGUAGC